UUUUUUCCUCUAGCAGCCAUGGCCACCACCCUUUCUCUUUGUGCUUCGGUGGUAGAAAUGCUCAAUGUGGUGGGUAUUAUGACGAGAUGGGUACUGGUCAUGCGGGGUGAUGGUGGAUGUAAUGCGCGCUUGCAAGAUGAAUUGCUUUCAUCUCCUCCUUCUCUUCCUCUGCCUCUUUUUCUUUUUUUCCCUUCGUCUUCCAUUGCUUCCCCCCCCCCCCUCUCUCUCUCUCUCUCUCUCUCUCCUUAAGCAUCUUUCUUCCACAAAGAACAACAAUCGAUUGAACUGCUGUUGUCAACCAUGAUGUCAUGGCUUCUCUUCGUCUUAAUCUCGCUACUAUUACGCUAUGCAUACACUUAUUCUGGAUUACUUUCUUUUCUUCUCUUGAUCAAUUUCUCCUUUCUUUUGAUUUUGUUGGGGAUUGGGUAUCUGGACUAUCUGGGUUUUGGAGAAUUUUUGUCUGGCUUUUUGGCAUAUGAUGUGGGAAUUUUAAAAAUUUCAAUUAGUUUUCAGAUUACUCCA